UACGUAGGGUGCGAGCGUUGUCCGGAAUUAUUGGGCGUAAAGGGCGCGUAGGCGGCCUGUUAAGUCGAACGUGAAAUCCCCCGGGCUCAACCCGGGAACUGCGUCCGAUACUGGCAGGCUUGAAUCCGGGAGAGGGAUGCGGAAUUCCAGGUGUAGCGGUGAAAUGCGUAGAUAUCUGGAGGAACACCGGUGGCGAAGGCGGCAUCCUGGACCGACACUGACGCUGAGGAGCGAAAGCCAGGGGAGCCAAAGCGGG
rnacentral:rRNA from 1 species